ACGUAGGUGGCAAGCGUUAUCCGGAAUUAUUGGGCGUAAAGCGCGCGUAGGCGGUUUUUUAAGUCUGAUGUGAAAGCCCACGGCUCAACCGUGGAGGGUCAUUGGAAACUGAAAAACUUGAGUGCAGAAGAGGAAAGUGGAAUUCCAUGUGUAGCGGUGAAAUGCGCAGAGAUAUGGAGGAACACCAGUGGCGAAGGCGACUUUCUGGUCUGUAACUGACGCUGAUGUGCGAAAGCGUGGGGAUCAAACAGGAUUAGAUACCCUGGUAGUCCACGCCGUAAACGAUGAGUGCUAAGUGUUAGGGGGGUUCCGCCCCUUAGUGCUGCAGCUAACGCAUUAAGCACUCCGCCUGGGGAGUACGGCCGCAAGGCUUAAACUCAAAGGAAUUGACGGGGACCCGCACAAGCGGUGGAGCAUGUGGUUUAAUUCGAAGCAACGCGAAGAACCUUACCAAAUCUUGACAUCCUUUGACCGCUCUAGAGAUAGAGUCUUCCCCUUCGGGGGACAAAGUGACAGGUGGUGCAUGGUUGUCGUCAGCUCGUGUCGUGAGAUGUUGGGUUAAGUCCCGCAACGAGCGCAACCCUUAAGCUUAGUUGCCAUCAUUCAGUUGGGCACUCUAAGUUGACUGCCGGUGACAAACCGGAGGAAGGUGGGGAUGACGUCAAAUCAUCAUGCCCCUUAUGAUUUGGGCUACACACGUGCUACAAUGGACAAUACAAAGGGCAGCGAAACCGCGAGGUCAAGCAAAUCCCAUAAAGUUGUUCUCAGUUCGGAUUGUAGUCUGCAACUCGACUACAUGAAGCUGGAAUCGCUAGUAAUCGUAGAUCAGCAUGCUACGGUGAAUACGUUCCCGGGUCU
rnacentral:rRNA from 1 species